GACGAACGCUGGCGGCGCGCCUAACACAUGCAAGUCGAACGAGCGAGCGAGAGCUUGCUUUCUCGAGCGAGUGGCGAACGGGUGAGUAAAGCGUGAGGAAACUGCCUCAAAGAGGGGGACAACAGUUGGAAACGACUGCUAAUACCGCAUAAGACCACGACCCGGCAUCGGGUCGAGGGAAAAGGAGCAAUCUGCUUUGAGUUGGCCUCGCGUCCGAUUAGCUAGUUGGUGAGGUAACGGCCCACCAAGGCGACGAUAGGUAGCCGGACUGUGAGGUUGAACGGCCACAUUGGGACUGAGACACGGCCCAGACUCCUACGGGAGGCAGCAGUGGGUAAUAUUGCACAAUGGGGGAAACCCUGAUGCAGCGACGCCGCGUGGAGGAAGAAGGUCUUCGGAUUGUAAACUCCUGUUGUUGAGGAAGAUAAUGACGGUACUCAACAAGAAAGUGACGGCUAACUACGUG
rnacentral:rRNA from 1 species